rnacentral:rRNA from 1 species
UCCGUAGGUGGAUAAUUAAGUCAGAGGUGAAAUCCUGCAGCUCAACUGUAGAAUUGCCUUUGAUACUGGUUAUCUUGAGUCAUUAUGAAGUGGUUAGAAUGUGUAGCGUAGCGGUGAAAUGCAUAGAUAUUACACAGAAUACCGAUUGCGAAGGCAGAUCACUAAUAAUGUACUGACACUGAGGGACGAAAGCGUGGGGAGCGAACAGGAUUAGAUACCCUGGUAGUCC